ACCCCCGGCCGUGGCUGACAGCCCCGCGGGCGGCCACGAGAAAGGCCCCCCAGGUUAAGCGGUGAGCAAGGUCAGCCGCUCGUGUGGGACGAAAGGGACCGCAAGCCCUGCAGCCGACCGGGACGACGACGACGACGACGACGAUAAUAACGCAUUAAGCCUCGCAUGCCGCCUGUCGGCCCUCGGAGGCAGACCGGACUAGGAAACCGACGUCGGGCAAGCUAGUGCUGCUUCGUGAUACGGUCACAACAGCGGAAUCUCGCAAGUCCGAAUGCGCUCCGCGAGAGCCCCGAGAACCCCGCAGUCCAGCCCUGAGCUACGGAUCUCCGCCGUGGCAGGAGCCCGAGGACCGGACGGCCCGGAACGCCCCUCCCAACUCGCGGCUCUGUGUCAAGUCCACAAAGUCCAAACCCCAAUUUAGAAGAAUCCUCGUGAAACCAGGCCUGGCUCAGAUAAAUGCUCCUUUAUGGGAUCCAGAGUGGCUUUGCUGGCAGAUGAUGGCAUGCAUCACAUUGGAGGAAGAACAUGUGAAGACACCUCUAAUCUUGAAGGUGUGUUCUGGUGUCUCCUGUAUGGAAAAGCACAGGACAGCUGAUGGCAGCCAGCAGCGAGUGGAAGUGGCUGCUUUUCACUGCCAGCUUCUUCCUAUGGAAAAACCCCUCUUAUUCAAGAUUUUUCAGACUUUGAAUUAGGAAGCUUAUGAAGAUAAAUGCGUGCUUCCAUGCAUAAGAUCUUACAUGGGUCAAGACGUGACAAAUUUAUCAAUAGCAUGGAAGGAACUGUCAGCCCUACGGGAUAGACCAGAUCAGGAACUGACUCCACUAGGACUAUCUCCAUUCUCAGGACUUAAGAAAUGCUCCUGUCCUUUUGGUUUGUGUAAUGGGUUCUAAAUAUUUGCUUCAAGGCCAUUUCCCUGGGUCUCUACAGCAGUGUUUCUCAACUUUGGCAACUUUAAGAUGUGUGGACUUCAACUCCCAGAAUUCCCCAGCCAGCCAAGGUUGAGAAGCACUACUCUACAGGAACAGAGAAGGGAAUUCCAUCCCUCUCUCCUCACCCUGGGAAGACGGUAGGGCCAACAGCUCCCUUACUGCUGCUUCAAAGAGCCAGCAGGCAGCCAGCUCUUUGGACAGGUCUGUCAGUCACCGUUAGCCUUGAAAGCUAAUGGAAACUCCACAAACGGGGGCAGUAUAGCAUUAUAGAGUGGAGGCAGAAAAGAGGGGAGGACAGGUGCCUUUCUGCUUCAUCAGAGAAUUUAUUAAGAAGGCUGUACCUCCCCAACCUGCUGUUGAAUCUUAGGCUAACUGCAGAUGGUGAGAGCUGCAGUAAAAUCGCUCUCUGCAAUCAUAGACAAAAUGCAGGCUUAUAAAUUUAUUCUAGAUUGAAAUGCAUGUGGCAUUUACAUUUCUGAAAAUGCAGGGCACUUAGAAUAAAUUCCCUGCAUUUUCAGAAGCUUCUUACAUAUAUCUAAGAAAUUUAGCUGUUUGUUAGAAGAGCGCAUGAAACCACCAGCCAGUUAUUUCUCAAGAUACCACAACAUUGUUUCUCCUAACCCUCAUCAGAACUUCACCACUAUUGGGGGAAAACACUUACAAUUCAGGUAAGCAAAGCUGGGAGGUAAGAUCUGGUACCUUACUGCAAGAUCACCUCUUUUCCAUUAAUUGUCUUUGCAACUAAAAUGCUGCCUUUUCCCCAGAAUCUCAAGCAGGCAGGGGAGAAGAUCCCUGAAGUCGAGGAGCCUUUCUGUACGCUAUCGUAUCCUCAGCCUUUUGUAAUGUCACUUAGAACAUUAUUGGGAGAUGAAAAAAAUUCAUCUCUAGCAGCUUACAUAAAUAAUCACUGAUGCAGUUCCAAGAGGAUGGUAUUAUUCUACUAAAUUGGCUGAUGCCGCUCAGCAAGCUGGCAGCUGCGCUGUGCUUCUGCAUCUUCAAGGGCAGCCUUAGGUAGAGCAAACUGCAGCGGUUACAGGAGAAGGGCGUGAGUUGCUCUCUUCAGCAUCUCCUGGACCCAGGAAGGUUCACAACUGGUGGACCCGCCUAAGCUGGCCAAAGAUUUCCUGGGCAUGGCCUCCAUCUGCACUCCAGCAGGAGCCACCCACUCGGGAAAAAUCCGAUGGCACACCAGACGCUUCGGGGGCAAAACACCUCCAGCUCCAGCAACAGCUGGAAACUCCAGGGAAUCAGAAGCUUUCUACAGAAGCAGUGACUCCAUCUUACUGGGACUGGGUCUCAGAUGGUUCUUCCCUACCCAGGCCACGAGUCAGGGCAUCUCCCCCAUCUCCUGCCUGGCUAGGAGUGGAGGCGUAAAGUUGGCCUCAGCAGCAAGCUGAGGCUUCAUCCCAGUCCAAGGGAAGGCCUCUCCCAGUGGCUUCACUGACAUAGUAAGCAAGAGGGAGGGAGAUGGCCAAGCCCUGGAACACCACACACUCUUAUUACUAUGUUAUCCGUUUUACCUAACCCAGACACUUAGAAUCUAGCGAAUCAGGCCUCAUACCAAUUUUUGUACUAUGCAACUAAAGUACUGGCUGCAUAACUGGGGGUCAGGGUUCCAGAAGACACCUGUUUAGCCUCCACGUUUAAAAAUGGAAAAAGGCAAAUCUGCAGGGGAGGCUUUAAUUUGGAUUCCUGCACUGAGCAGGGCAUUGAGCCAGAUGGCCUCAAGAGCCACUUUCAAUUCAUUCCUUUUGUACUUACGGAGGGAAGAGUUUAAUAGCAGCACCUGAUCAAGUGAACUGAGUGUCUUUCCAUGGUAACACCCUGGCACACUGGGCCAUUUGCUGGGGGCAAGCCUGGAGUGUGAGGGGUGGUUCCACCUGCCCACACUCUGGGCAGGGGGUUGGACUAGAUGGUCUUGCAAGUCUUUCCCACCCUUUAGAUUCUAGGAUUCAAAGCAAGAAACAGCUGAAGUAACUUCUGAAGGCAUUCAGAUUUAGUGGACUGCCAAUAAAACCUUUUUUGGUAUAUAAAAAAAUAUUUAAAAUACUUUUUAUCACUCUUAGAAGCCAGUCAAAAUGGCACAAGCAAACAGAGAAAAACGAGGCACCGGUGCUGCUGAAAACAGCCAUCAAUAAGAUUCAGCUGCAGCUUAGGACUGCACAGCACGACACCAGGGGUACCAGCACUUCUCUAAAAUUAGGCAUAAGCAGAGGCCAAAAGUCCACUCCACUUUCUAAGAUUUAGAGUAUUAAAAGCAGACUGGUUAUUUCUGCUAACACCUUUUAAAAAUUCACAGCUUCAAAGCUUAAGAAGAAUGGCAAAAAAGCCUACUUCUCUUUCAAACAAAAUAGCUUCAACAGAGAGGCCAGAUCAAAUUUUCAGGAGGGAGAGCAAAGAAAGAGACACAUCGCUAACCAAGCUCUAGGAAUCAAGGUAGACAUUCAGAUGGAUGAUUAUGGGCCAUCAAAAUGGUGUCAACUUUUAGCAACCGCAUAGAUUUUCUCCAUGAUGUUCUGCCUCCA